GCCAUGUCUCCCCACCCCACCGCCCUCCUGGGCCUAGUGCUCUGCCUGGCCCAGACAAUCCACACGCAGGAGGGGGCCCUGCCCAGACCCUCCAUCUCGGCUGAGCCAGGCACCACGAUCCCCCCGGGAAGCCGUGUGACUUUCGUGUGCCGGGGCCCGGCUGGGGUUCAAACAUUCCGCCUGGAGAGGGAGAGUAGAUCCAAGUACAAUGAUACUAAUGACGUGUCUCAAGCUAGUUCAUCUGAGUCAGAGGCCAGAUUCCGCAUUGACUCAGUAAGUGAAGACAGUGCUGGGUGUUAUCGCUGCCUCUAUUUUAAGUCCUCCAGAUGGUCUGAGCACAGUGACUACCUGGAGCUGCUGGUGAAAGAAACCUCUGGAGGCCCGGACUCUCCCGACACAGAGCUCGGCUCCUCAGCUGGACCCAUGCAGAGGCCGUCGGACAACAGUCACAAUGAGCAUGCACCUGCUUCUCAAGGCCUGAGUGCUGAGCAUCUUUAUAUUCUCAUCGGGGUCUCAGUGGUCUUCCUCUUCUGUCUCCUCCUGGUCCUCUUCUUCCUCCGUCGCCAGAAUCAGAUAAAGCAGGGGCCCCCCAGAAGCAAGGACAAGGAGCAGAAGCCACAGCAGAGGUGAGGCCCCUGGGAAUGACUCCUGGACCUCCACCUGGUCCUCGGCCACCAGGCUGCCCCUGAGGUUCACUUUUAUUUUUCCUCUCAGGCCUGACCUGGCUGUUGAUGUUCUAGAGAGGACAGCAGACAAGACCACAGUCAGUGGACUUCCUGAGAAGGACAGAGAGACGGACACCUCGGCCCUGGCUGCAGGGAGUUCCCAGGAGGUGACGUAUGCUCAGCUGGACCACUGGGCCCUCACACAGAGGACAGCCCAGGCUGUGUCCCCACAGUCCACAGAGCCCGUGGCUGAGUCCAGCAUGUAUGCAGCCGUUGCCAGACACUGAC
rnacentral:sRNA from 1 species